rnacentral:rRNA from 1 species
AGAGUUUGAUUCUGGCUCAGGAUGAACGCUAGCUACAGGCUUAACACAUGCAAGUCGCGGGGUAACAUCUGGUAGAGCUUGCUCUUCCAGGAUGACGACCGGCGCACGGGUGAGUAACGCGUAUCCAACCUGGCCCAUACCACGGGAUAGCCCGUCGAAAGGCGGAUUAAUACCGUAUGCUGUCAUUAAGAUGCAUAUAUUGAUGACGAAAGGACUGGCGGUAUGGGAUGGGGAUGCGUCUGAUUAGCUUGUUGGCGGGGUAACGGCCCACCAAGGCGACGAUCAGUAGGGGUUCUGAGAGGAAGGUCCCCCACAUUGGAACUGAGACACGGUCCAA